UAUAUACCUGUAUAUAUAUAUGUAUAUAUAUAUACACACACAUACUGUACAUGCCCCGCAAAGCUUCUCUGUGCGCCCACGUCGCCACGCCUCUCUGGGCGCCCACGUCGCCACUCCUCUCUGGGCGCCCACGUCACCACGCGCCUCUGGGCGCCCACGUCGCCACUUUUCUCUGGGCGAACACGUUGCAGCAGUUUUUCUCUGGGCGUGCACGUAGCCAUUACAGUUUCCGUCACAGCAUAUGCUGCAGCCUUCAAUGCAGUGGCCCAUCGUGUCUUGACCGAGAUUUAUUCCACCAGUCAAUGCGAUAACAGCUCGUGGUUCAACAUGACCGGGGUGCAUGUCUCAUUCUAGUACUCGACCAAACUAAGAAUAGUUUUUGCCACAAACUCGAAGCAAACAGGGUGACCCAUUCUAUCCUCACCUAACAAUUGAUGAUAGUGGGUCCCACCCGUGAAAAAUGCAGAAAUAGUCAUUGGGCGACGCUGGCGCUCACUAGCUUGAGCCCAUGUCCCCACAAAUGAUAAAGGUUGAGCUAGUCUUGGGACACCUGCGUUAACAUUUGAUAGAUAUACUGCCCCACUCAAACUUCACACCAGAUAAUGAGCGGCAUGCCGACUCGUCGGCGCACGCUUCUCUGGGAACACAAGCCGUCGUCCAACAGGCGUGUUUCGCCUCGUCGUAGGUGACCGUGACCAAGCAUCUGUUACCCAGCGCAUAGCAGGUCUACUAGCAACAUAAUAAAUGCGGAAAAGAGAGGCCUGGGGUGAAAUUGCUGCCUCAUUCAACGCCAGCAACUCUGACCAACUCCCUAUCACAGCCAAGCAGCUCAAGAGGAGCUACGGACACUUAAAAAGAAAAUAUGACUGUAGCCUACAGUAUUUAAGGCCUACUUCAAAAAAUGUUUUGUUUGUUUGUUUUCGAUCUACUGAUGUAAGUGCACAACAGCAUCGUAAAGUAUAACCAUGUUUCUGUACUCAAUUUUUAAUGGCAAAUUUACAUUUUUUAAAACUGUCUACAGGCCCUUUAAAUAUUGCUGUAUUGUAAAAUACUACAAAACCGUCAUAUAUUUAUUUUGUGAUGCAUAUAUGUACAGUAAAUGAUAUUAGUCUGUUCUGCAUCCCCUUUGCUCAUAGGCAUUGGUGAUGAAAGCAUUAUAAAAGCCAAUGCUGUUGCUAUUGCUAUACAGCAUUAAUUUCUUCUCUUUCUUUCAGAAAUAUAAAAACAGAGAUAUAAAAGACCGAAAACUUGAGGGCCGAGUUAGCAGUGGCUGAUGAUUUUUACGAGACCUUCCGCAAUCACCCAGUAGAUGAAGAAAUUAUUCCUUGUGGAAUGUGCAGGGCCGGCGCCAGCCUAUUUGGCGCCCUUAGCAGGACUACAGCUGGCAUCUCCACCCGCCUCCCACUUCACGAUUGGGUUUGCCCACAAAGUAAUCCAGCCAUAGUAUUGAGUGGGUUGAGGACUCUGUGGUGAAAUGGACAUCUAAGACAUACAAUCUCUGAAAAUGAAUUGCUGGAAGCACCCUCUGUACAUGUAAGGACCACCAAUUGUGAGUAAAGCACAGAGUAAAUUGUGUAGUGUUAACACAGUGUCAAGAUAAUUGAAAAAGACAGUGAAUUCUUGUGAGUACAGAAAAUCCGCUUUGUGUUAAUCAUCCGUGAAAGCUACAGAGUUAUAUUUUCUUGAGACAUUCUCGUCAAGUAUCAUCAAGUAUUUUAUUUUGAGCAUUGCUAUGAGUACUUUGUGAAUUGAAAGUUUGUAUUGUCCUCUUUAGAGAUACUUAAUUUUCUGAGUGAGUCACCGAUACUACUGCCGAUUAUUUAUUUUGGUGAGUAUCCAUUUAAGAAGUAUCCGAGGCAUUUAUGUGUCAAUGUUUACCCCCUUUGCUCUGGAAGGGUGUUAAUUGAAUUUAUCUUUGGUGGGGUUGUUUUGUAGAAGAUUUGUUGUGACAUCAGCGCACGAUGAUCACAGUAGUUGUGAAUAAGUUACAACUUAUGUGUGAGUUCCGACAAUAUCUUUGUCAGACAUGUCCGUGAACCCCAACAAUACCUUGAACUUUUCAUUCACCUCGCCCAAGGUCUUGAACCUCUCAUUAAGAGAGGAAAUCACAGUAUCCACUACCACAUUGAAAAAUGUAGUCUCCAUCCUCUUGAGUACAUCGCUGACAGGUUCGUCUGCACACUCAUAGCUAAAGUGACAUUUUUUAGUUCUUAGUCUUCUGUUUCAGCACCGUGUCUACGCUCAUCGCUUCACAGAUUUCUUUAGCAAUAGUUAGUGCAUCAGCAAAACCUGUAUUUCUGUAGCUGACAAUAUCAUCUCUGGUCUUUUUGAGCAGAUCUACAGCCACGCCGAGCUGUAUCGUAGUCGACUGCAUUAGUUUGCUCACGUGCUGAAUUUUGCUGAGUAUAUCAUACCACACAACUGAACAAAUGACAAAACGGUAUGACCCUACUUCCUCUGCCAACGAUUAAGCCUCAACUUUGACGACAGGGUCAGUUGCAGAUUCUCUGUGCUCCAAAAGCGCUUCUUUGAGUUGCGGAGGUUGAUAUCUAAUUGCCUCCACACUUUUUACUCGGCUUUCCCAUCUGACGUCUGACCACGAUUUCAGAGUAAUAUUAACAUGUUUUAAAAGAACUUGCCACCUCUGAGGAGAGGCUGAAAACAAUGUGAAUACUUUCGUUAAAUAUCCAAAGUAACAAGUUGCAUUUAGGGAGCUCUUGGCAGCGUCACCUAAUAUAAAAUUCAAAUUAUGGGCACCACAAGGGACAAAUAAGGGCCGAGAAUUCUGUUGAAGAAGCCUGGCUUGAACUCCUUUGAUGUUUCCUCUCAUAUUUGCUUCAUUGUCGUAGGAUUGACCUCGAUAAUCCUCAAAAGAAAUGUUCAUUUGUUUGUCUUCCGAGUAGAAUUCAUGACAAAUUUAGCCCUGUAGACUUCUCUACCUCAAGGAACCCCAAGGUAGUGUGACUGUGAUUGCCUGCAUUACUUUCAACCCUACUUAAAGUUCCACUUCUUGGAGAAAAUUACCAUUGGAUUGACAGUUAAGUUUUUCGGCUGACCCUCUAGAGCCAAAUUGCUUUCAGCUAGAGACUGAAUAAUCGCCAUUAGUCUAGUGAGGACUUGGCGCCACCCGUUCCACUCAGCCAUUAACAUUUCCAUUUCCCGUCUGUCUAUCGUCCUUCCACUUGCAAUGUUGACCUCCAGUUCCUUCUAUGUUGUCAUGUUUUUUUUAGUGUGUUCUAUGUUACUUUCAUGUGUGCUGAGCAAAUGACUAGUUCUCAGUUGGAGUCAAUUUGUUACCAUUGAAUUUAUUGAGAUAACACAAGUUUGGUGUUAAAUUUUUCAUUGUUGUAUUUUUCAACCUGUUUUUAUUUAACGGAGAAUUUUAUUACAUAGCGCCUUACCAUUUCUUACAGUGUAGACUGAUAUGCAUUGUUGGUAAAGAGGUUAUAUGUAUUUGAGAACUAAUUCCGGUGUAUUUUCAGCCAUAGUAUUGAGUGGGUUGAGGACUCUGUGGUGAAAUGGACAUCUAAGACAUACAAUCUCUGAAAAUGAAUUGCUGGAAGCACCCUCUGUACAUGUAAGGACCACCAAUUGUGAGUAAAGCACAGAGUAAAUUGUGUAGUGUUAACACAGUGUCAAGAUAAUUGAAAAAGACAGUGAAUUCUUGUGAGUACAGAAAAUCCGCUUUGUGUUAAUCAUCCGUGAAAGCUACAGAGUUAUAUUUUCUUGAGACAUUCUCGUCAAGUAUCAUCAAGUAUUUUAUUUUGAGCAUUGCUAUGAGUACUUUGUGAAUUGAAAGUUUGUAUUGUCCUCUUUAGAGAUACUUAAUUUUCUGAGUGAGUCACCGAUACUACUGCCGAUUAUUUAUUUUGGUGAGUAUCCAUUUAAGAAGUAUCCGAGGCAUUUAUGUGUCAAUGUUUACCCCCUUUGCUCUGGAAGGGUGUUAAUUGAAUUUAUCUUUGGUGGGGUUGUUUUGUAGAAGAUUUGUUGUGACAUCAGCGCACGAUGAUCACAGUAGUUGUGAAUAAGUUACAACUUAUGUGUGAGUUCCGACAAUAUCUUUGUCAGACAUGUCCGUGAACCCCAACAAUACCUUGAACUUUUCAUUCACCUCGCCCAAGGUCUUGAACCUCUCAUUAAGAGAGGAAAUCACAGUAUCCACUACCACAUUGAAAAAUGUAGUCUCCAUCCUCUUGAGUACAUCGCUGACAGGUUCGUCUGCACACUCAUAGCUAAAGUGACAUUUUUUAGUUCUUAGUCUUCUGUUUCAGCACCGUGUCUACGCUCAUCGCUUCACAGAUUUCUUUAGCAAUAGUUAGUGCAUCAGCAAAACCUGUAUUUCUGUAGCUGACAAUAUCAUCUCUGGUCUUUUUGAGCAGAUCUACAGCCACGCCGAGCUGUAUCGUAGUCGACUGCAUUAGUUUGCUCACGUGCUGAAUUUUGCUGAGUAUAUCAUACCACACAACUGAACAAAUGACAAAACGGUAUGACCCUACUUCCUCUGCCAACGAUUAAGCCUCAACUUUGACGACAGGGUCAGUUGCAGAUUCUCUGUGCUCCAAAAGCGCUUCUUUGAGUUGCGGAGGUUGAUAUCUAAUUGCCUCCACACUUUUUACUCGGCUUUCCCAUCUGACGUCUGACCACGAUUUCAGAGUAAUAUUAACAUGUUUUAAAAGAACUUGCCACCUCUGAGGAGAGGCUGAAAACAAUGUGAAUACUUUCGUUAAAUAUCCAAAGUAACAAGUUGCAUUUAGGGAGCUCUUGGCAGCGUCACCUAAUAUAAAAUUCAAAUUAUGGGCACCACAAGGGACAAAUAAGGGCCGAGAAUUCUGUUGAAGAAGCCUGGCUUGAACUCCUUUGAUGUUUCCUCUCAUAUUUGCUUCAUUGUCGUAGGAUUGACCUCGAUAAUCCUCAAAAGAAAUGUUCAUUUGUUUGUCUUCCGAGUAGAAUUCAUGACAAAUUUAGCCCUGUAGACUUCUCUACCUCAAGGAACCCCAAGGUAGUGUGACUGUGAUUGCCUGCAUUACUUUCAACCCUACUUAAAGUUCCACUUCUUGGAGAAAAUUACCAUUGGAUUGACAGUUAAGUUUUUCGGCUGACCCUCUAGAGCCAAAUUGCUUUCAGCUAGAGACUGAAUAAUCGCCAUUAGUCUAGUGAGGACUUGGCGCCACCCGUUCCACUCAGCCAUUAACAUUUCCAUUUCCCGUCUGUCUAUCGUCCUUCCACUUGCAAUGUUGACCUCCAGUUCCUUCUAUGUUGUCAUGUUUUUUUUAGUGUGUUCUAUGUUACUUUCAUGUGUGCUGAGCAAAUGACUAGUUCUCAGUUGGAGUCAAUUUGUUACCAUUGAAUUUAUUGAGAUAACACAAGUUUGGUGUUAAAUUUUUCAUUGUUGUAUUUUUCAACCUGUUUUUAUUUAACGGAGAAUUUUAUUACAUAGCGCCUUACCAUUUCUUACAGUGUAGACUGAUAUGCAUUGUUGGUAAAGAGGUUAUAUGUAUUUGAGAACUAAUUCCGGUGUAUUUUCAGCCAUAGUAUUGAGUGGGUUGAGGACUCUGUGGUGAAAUGGACAUCUAAGACAUACAAUCUCUGAAAAUGAAUUGCUGGAAGCACCCUCUGUACAUGUAAGGACCACCAAUUGUGAGUAAAGCACAGAGUAAAUUGUGUAGUGUUAACACAGUGUCAAGAUAAUUGAAAAAGACAGUGAAUUCUUGUGAGUACAGAAAAUCCGCUUUGUGUUAAUCAUCCGUGAAAGCUACAGAGUUAUAUUUUCUUGAGACAUUCUCGUCAAGUAUCAAGUAUUUUAUUUUGAGCAUUGCUAUGAGUACUUUGUGAAUUGAAAGUUUGUAUUGUCCUCUUUAGAGAUACUUAAUUUUCUGAGUGAGUCACCGAUACUACUGCCGAUUAUUUAUUUUGCCAUAGUAUUGAGUGGGUUGAGGACUCUGUGGUGAAAUGGACAUCUAAGACAUACAAUCUCUGAAAAUGAAUUGCUGGAAGCACCCUCUGUACAUGUAAGGACCACCAAUUGUGAGUAAAGCACAGAGUAAAUUGUGUAGUGUUAACACAGUGUCAAGAUAAUUGAAAAAGACAGUGAAUUCUUGUGAGUACAGAAAAUCCGCUUUGUGUUAAUCAUCCGUGAAAGCUACAGAGUUAUAUUUUCUUGAGACAUUCUCGUCAAGUAUCAUCAAGUAUUUUAUUUUGAGCAUUGCUAUGAGUACUUUGUGAAUUGAAAGUUUGUAUUGUCCUCUUUAGAGAUACUUAAUUUUCUGAGUGAGUCACCGAUACUACUGCCGAUUAUUUAUUUUGGUGAGUAUCCAUUUAAGAAGUAUCCGAGGCAUUUAUGUGUCAAUGUUUACCCCCUUUGCUCUGGAAGGGUGUUAAUUGAAUUUAUCUUUGGUGGGGUUGUUUUGUAGAAGAUUUGUUGUGACAUCAGCGCACGAUGAUCACAGUAGUUGUGAAUAAGUUACAACUUAUGUGUGAGUUCCGACAAUAUCUUUGUCAGACAUGUCCGUGAACCCCAACAAUACCUUGAACUUUUCAUUCACCUCGCCCAAGGUCUUGAACCUCUCAUUAAGAGAGGAAAUCACAGUAUCCACUACCACAUUGAAAAAUGUAGUCUCCAUCCUCUUGAGUACAUCGCUGACAGGUUCGUCUGCACACUCAUAGCUAAAGUGACAUUUUUUAGUUCUUAGUCUUCUGUUUCAGCACCGUGUCUACGCUCAUCGCUUCACAGAUUUCUUUAGCAAUAGUUAGUGCAUCAGCAAAACCUGUAUUUCUGUAGCUGACAAUAUCAUCUCUGGUCUUUUUGAGCAGAUCUACAGCCACGCCGAGCUGUAUCGUAGUCGACUGCAUUAGUUUGCUCACGUGCUGAAUUUUGCUGAGUAUAUCAUACCACACAACUGAACAAAUGACAAAACGGUAUGACCCUACUUCCUCUGCCAACGAUUAAGCCUCAACUUUGACGACAGGGUCAGUUGCAGAUUCUCUGUGCUCCAAAAGCGCUUCUUUGAGUUGCGGAGGUUGAUAUCUAAUUGCCUCCACACUUUUUACUCGGCUUUCCCAUCUCACGUCUGACCACGAUUUCAGAGUAAUAUUAACAUGUUUUAAAAGAACUUGCCACCUCUGAGGAGAGGCUGAAAACAAUGUGAAUACUUUCGUUAAAUAUCCAAAGUAACAAGUUGCAUUUAGGGAGCUCUUGGCAGCGUCACCUAAUAUAAAAUUCAAAUUAUGGGCACCACAAGGGACAAAUAAGGGCCGAGAAUUCUGUUGAAGAAGCCUGGCUUGAACUCCUUUGAUGUUUCC